rnacentral:rRNA from 1 species
AACGAACGCUGGCGGCAUGCCUAACACAUGCAAGUCGAACGAGACCUUCGGGUCUAGUUGCGCACGGGUGCGUAACGCGUGGGAACCUUCCCUUAGGUUCGGAAUCACUCCCCGAAAGGGGUGCUAAUAACGGCUAAUGUCUUCGGACCAAAGAUUUAUCGCGUUGGGAUGGGCCCGCGUUGGAUUAGCGAGUUGGUAGGGUAAAAGCCUACCAAGGCGACGAUACAUAGCUGGUCUGAGAGGAUGAUCCGCCACACUGGGACUGAGACACGGCCCACACUCCUACGGGAGGGAGGAGUGGGGAAUAUUGGACAAUGGGCGAGAGCCUGAUCCAGCAAUGCCGCGUGAGUGAUGAAGGCCUUAGGGUUGUAAAGCUCUUUUAGCCGGGAUGAUAAUGACAGUACCGGGAGAAUAAGCUCCGGCUAACUCCGUG